rnacentral:rRNA from 1 species
UACGGAGGGUGCGAGCGUUGUCCAGAAUCACUGGGCGUAAAGGGCGCGUAGGCGGCAUGCCAAGCGUGUGGUGAAAGCCCGGGGCUCAACCCCGGGUCGGCCGUGCGGACUGGCGUGCUCGAGCACUGUAGGGGCGGGUGGAAUUCCGGGUGUAGUGGUGGGAUGCGUAGAGAUCCGGAGGAACACCAGCGGCGAAGGCGGCAUCCUGGACUGGUCCUGACACUCAUGAGCGAAAGCGUGGGGAGCGAUCCGG